UGUAAAACAAGAAACUGUCAAUUUUGCUUCCCAUAACGUACACUGUACACAACUCACAAAAUGCCUCUCAACAUAAAUAUUUUAACAACUUAAUUUAUGAUUAUUCUAAAUGGACCCAUCAAAAAACUGUUUUAUUUAUUAUUAUUUUAUUUAUUUUUUAUUUUUUUUGACAUGUCCACCCAAGAGAAGAGGAGAGGAUUCGAACUAGUGACCUCCGCUUCAUUAGGGGCGCUUUGUUAGGAGGCCGAAUUCUAGCACAAAUGGUCAAAGAUGAAAAAAAAGAAAAAAAAAAAGAAAAGAAAAGAGACAUUUUGGGUUGAGAUCGUCACCACCACACCUCCACUUUUGGCUUCUCUUCUUUUUGUUGUUGGAUUAGAUCAGGAAAUGGAGACUGGUUAAGAAGAGGAGCAUGGAGAAAUAGACAAACUACUUUUGCCCUAGCUUUUCAUUUUCUCUGUGUUUCUUUUUCUUUUUUUUUCCUAGUCUUUAAUUUCCACUUUGUUUCAAGUUAUCAAAUACCUUUUAGUAGGUAUAGAGAUUUUGUUGGAUUCGAUCAAUAGUAGCACAAGGCAAAUAUUUAAAUGGAUUCAAAUUUCAAAAGGCAUAUAUGAUAAUUUUUAUUUUUAUUUUUA